rnacentral:lncRNA from 1 species
UUUUGUUUCACUGAAACUCUGAAUUUAUAACCUGGUUUUUGUGGACCUGUGGGCUCAAAUGAGAGAGGCUCAAGUCCAAUUUUUUUUUUGUUAUAUUUUAUUUAUUUAUUUUAUUUUAUUAUUAUUUUUUUCGUUUUUUUUUUCGUUUUUCUUCUUUUUUUUCUUUAUUUUUUCUUUAUUUUUUUUUCGUUUUUCUUGUUUCGUUUUUCUUCUUUUUUUUUUUU